UGGGGAAUCUUGCACAAUGGGGGCAACCCUGAUGCAGCGACGCCGCGUGAGCGAUGAAGCCCUUCGGGGCGUAAAGCUCUUUCGACCGGAACGAUAAUGACGGUACCGGGAGAAGAAGCUGCGGCUAACUACGUGCCAGCAGCCGCGGCAAUACGUAGGCAGCAAGCGUUGUUCGGAGUUACUGGGCGUAAAGAGUGCGUAGGCGGUUUUCUAAGUUCGGUGUGAAAUCUCCCGGCUUAACUGGGAGGGUGCGCCGAAGACUGGGAAGCUGGAGUGUGGGAAAGGCAGGCGGAAUUCCUGGUGUAGCGGUGAAAUGCGUAGAUAUCAGGAGGAACACCGGCGGUGUAGACGGCUUGCUAGACCAUAACUGACGCUGAGGCACGAAAGCGUGGGUAGCAAACA
rnacentral:rRNA from 1 species